GCCCCCAUAGCUCAACGGAUAGAGCGUCUGACUUCGGAUCAGAAGGCUGCGGGUUCGAAUCCUGCUGGGGGUG
rnacentral:tRNA from 1 species